GUUGUUUUAAUGCAAUUUACAUUAAAUCAAAAGUGAAUGAUGGCACCACUUCUGAGACUUGGUUGCUGAAAAGGAGCCUAGGGUUAGUGUAGCCUCUUCCCAUCCCUCCCCUCUUCCAACUCUACACAGUCCCUCCAUGGGGAGAAGGGAUGUUUGCAAAUCACCAACCUAAGAAAUGGCCAGCAAAUGAAGGAUGCCGUCCUCCCAGUGGGAGAUAACAAAUCCAAAUGCCACUGGGCUCCUGGAGGUGUCACCACUUACCUUUCAGAAAAGAAACAAGAGCAACAGACACCUCUGGGGAUGUCUACCUAAACUGGAACCAGUGACCCCUCUUUUCUCUAGCUUUCUUUUUAUUUAUUUAUUUAUUUUUUUUUUUAUUGAUCAUUCUUGGGUGUUUCUCGCAGAGGGGGAUUUGGCAGGGUCACAGGACAAUAGUGGAGGGAAGGUCAGCAGAUAAACAAGUGAACAAAGGUCUCUGGUUUUCCUAGGCAGAGGACCCUGCGGCCUUCCGCAGUGUUUGUGUCCCUGGGUACUUGAGAUUAGGGAGUGGUGAUGACUCUUAACGAGCAUGCUGCCUUCAAGCAUCUGUUUAACAAAGCACAUCUUGCACCGCCCUUAAUCCAUUUAACCCUGAGUGGACACAGCACAUGUUUCAGAGAGCACAGGGUUGGGGGUAAGGUCACAGAUCAACAGGAUCCCAAGGCAGAAGAAUUUUUCUUAGUACAGAACAAAAUGAAAAGUCUCCCAUGUCUACCUCUUUCUACACAGACACAGCAACCAUCCGAUUUCUCAAGCGGCCGCUUCCUGGGCGUCGGUCCAGUGCCCCGGCCCGGCCUGGGAGACCCGCACCAACCCCGGGAGGGAGGACGGGGCGCGGGCGCAGCCUAGGGGCCGAAGCACUGCACGCACGGCCGGCGCGGGGGCAGAGGGGAGACAGGGAAGCCUGAGCUCCGCGCUGCUGAAGGCUCCGGGGAUGGGUGGGCGGCGGUGAGGUAGUCUUGCCCGGGCCCUGCCCGCGUGGGCGCUUUCUGAGUCUCUGUCGCGUGACGGAGGCGGGACCUAGGCUGUGUCUCCUGCGGGGCGAAAGCACGGAAGAGAUCCGAGGGCAUUUCUUGAGCCUGGCAGGAGGCCAGGGGUUUUACAGGGCAGGAAGGAACCUGGAGGAACCGAGGAGCCACGUUGUUGGUUGGAAAGAAGGGUGGCCAGGUGGGGAGGAGUCUGGCAAAGGGUCCCAGACAGCAGGAAGGGCACCUGUGAAGCCGCUGGGAAUAGCCGCUCAUGUCGGCUGACGGAGCGGUGUGGGGCCGCCUCCGCGCCUUCCCCGAGCGGCUGGCCGCCUGCGGGGCCGAGGCCAAGAAGACGCUGGAGGGAGGCUGUUAGGAGGGACUCUGAGCUUCACACCUGUCUGCUGCCGUGGUUGCAGAGCCCUAGUCCUGAUGGCCCCCGAAAGACGGCCCUGCCUUCCAGGGCUCGCUAGAUCCUUGGUUCCUGUCGUGGAGGAGGUGGAG
rnacentral:lncRNA from 1 species